CGUCACAAAGCACGGCAAUAUUUACACUAUUGAAGGCACCUGAGAUGUCAAAAAAUACAGACAAAAGAUACUGAUUACUUGCUAAACAUUGAUGCGCAUCAAGCUGUAACUGCGCUAUACUCUCCCUAGAAGACCGACCUUUGCGAAAACCAAACUGAUUAUUAGGCAAAAGACAAUUUUGUUCUAUAAAGAACUCGAGACGUUGUUUUAGAAGCUGCUCAAAUAUCUUCCCAACACAAGACGUGAGAGCUAUAGGUCUAUAAGAGUCAGCAUUUAAAACUGCUUCUGUACACCUCUGAUUCCACCAAGGCAACCAAGGAUAUUUAAAAGAUUUUUGUGAACAAGAACUAGUAACAUUAUUACUAUUAGAACUUUUGGAAAACAGACAGCUAGGGAUUGACUGCUUGGCAGCAGAAAGUAAAAUAUUACAAAAGGAAUUAAAAGCAUCUAUUGAAGAUAAAGUGUCAAAUUUAACAUCAUCCAAAUAAGAAACAACUAAGUUACUAUACAUAUUCCAAUUCACCUGCUUAUAAUUAGGGGAGAUGAUAACUACUGCCCAGAGGACUGUCAAUAACUGACCAGUCACAUAAAAGAGCCAAUGAUGGAGUUACCAAAGUCAAGUCAAGAGCAUUAGGACGCCAAGAUGGAGAUCCUAUUGUGGUAGCUUGACCAUUAUUCAGAAUAACAAGACCAUUCUCAUCUAUAACCUCUAAAACAUCUUUACCUCGAGGCAAUGUAUCAACACAUCCCCACAACAUGUGAUGAGCAUUGAAAUCACCUGCAAAUAUCAUUGGCUCUGGAAUGGACUUAAUUAAACUGUUUAAAUUGUUUUUAUUAAAUGGAGGAUUUGAAUUGGAAGGACUGUAAAAACUUACAAUACUCAGUUCUUUGUUAUUAAUUUUAAUUUUAAUGCAAACAUUUUGUAGAGCACUAUCAAAAUAUGUAUUUAUGUUAGAAAAUGUGAUAUUAUUAUGAAUAAAAAUUGCUACACCA